rnacentral:rRNA from 1 species
UGCCAGCCGCCGCGGUAAUACGGAGGGUGCAAGCGUUGUCCGGAUUUAUUGGGUUUAAAGGGUACGUAGGCGGUUUGAUAAGUCAGUGGUGAAAUUUUGCAGCUUAACUGUAAAAGUGCCAUUGAUACUGUCAAACUUGAGUAUUGUAGAGGCAGGCGGAAUUCCUCAUGUAGCGGUGAAAUGCAUAGAUAUGAGGAGGAACACCAACAGCGAAGGCAGCUUGCUUGGCAAUAACUGACGCUAAUGUACGAAAGCAUGGGUAGCGAACAGGAUUAGAUA